AAAAAGGUUUCCAGUAGCUCAGCAUGUCGGCUUGUCUGUCAAAGAAAAUGAAAGCCAAUGAUGAGGCAUGGAACUCAAAGGGACUUCCCUGAUUAACUGAAGAAGGAAACUACACUCAUCCCCAGGCUGUAUGCUGAGAGAUAUUAUCAGAAGUCGACCUGCUCCACAGCUUUACCAGACACUCUCUGUGACCCCCUGUGAAGCUUUGGUGACCCCUAAUAGGGACUGGGACCCCCAGGUUGGACACCAUGGAUCCAGGGUGCGAUGACAACCAGUUUGCAGAAGGUGAAGUCUCUGCUCUGAGCAUCACAGCCAGAAAUGAAAUCAAAGAUCAGACAAGAAGCAUUCGCCCUGGCCCUCACUCGAAAGGCAUAGACAAGUGAGUCCCACCUCCUCUACAAGAUCGCUACAGAGACACCACAGCGCUCGUGUCUCAAGUCCCGGUGCCCCUUCACCACACACACCCAAGACCUGCUUCGUGCAGUACCAUCUGAUACCUCCAAGGCUGCCUGGGUCAAGACAAGGGACCAGUGACGGUCAGCAGAACCAUCAAGGCUCCAUCACUACAUUGAAGACCACACAGCAAUGGACAUCCCUCAACCGCCUGAGGACAGGCGUCAGGAGUCUAGUGGACAGUGCCCAUUGUGAAUGUGGGAAUCCACGACAAACACAUAAUCACCAGCUGCCCCAAAUGCCGGCCACUGAAUAGCAAUAGUCGUCUAAUUGACUUGAACGAUGAAACACUGGACUGGUUUGGUCAACGGAGCUGCUUUGUUUUAUAUGCUGCCAAGAAUACACCCCAGAAGAUGGGUUACUCAGGUAAAACUCCAUCAUUGUUCAAAGUAAGUAAAUAUAUACUUUAUAAUGUUAGUUUUAAUGAAUUAAAUAUUUUAAACAUCAAGGAACUUUCUACUUUUUUGCUGCAUUAAAUCAAACUGUGACACCAGUGUGUCCCAUCGAACCAAACUGGGAAUUCUGUAAACUGUUAAACCCAUUUUAGACUUAUGAAUCAACACUGAACACUGCGCAGGAGCCCUGUGACAUGUACACACAAAUAUUGGGAUCUACACAAGUGAAACACUGCGGCACUGGACAAACAAGCACACACACACACUUCCUACAAACACCUGGACAUUACAAUGACAUCUACUUUAAUUACACAGCAUAAAAAGUAGAGUUUUGUUUGCUGAAAUUGCCCAAAAAUACAAAUGUAAUGCUCUUUUAUGUGACUAGAAUGAUGGUACAGCACUGCUCCAGCCAUACACAGCAUCCUACUCGCACACACACACACACACACACA